rnacentral:misc_RNA from 1 species
UCCGGUUUGGCACCGGCAGUCCUCCCAGAGUCCUCGACUUGACUCGCUAGCAACUGGGAGCGGGGGUUGCGCUCUUUGAUGGACUUAACCAAACACCUCACGGCACGAGCUGACGACAGCCAUGCAGCACCUGUGCUCGCUCCCCUUACGAGGUCAUCCCCGUUUCCGGUUCUUACCACGAGCAUGUCAAGCCCAGGUAAGGUUCUUCGCGUUGCCUCGAAUUAAGCCACAUGCUCCGCCGCUUGUGCGGGUCCCCGUCAAUUCCUUUGAGUUUUAGCCUUGCGGCCGUACUCCCCAGGCGGGGUGCUUAAUGCGUUAGCUGCGGCACGGAUCCCGUCGAUAGGGACCCACACCUAGCACCCAUCGUUUACGGCGUGGACUAC